ACACACAGACAAGGUGGUGGGGUGAUGGUGUCAUCUCCAAGUCCCUCUCCUCAUUUAGCUUUUCUGAUAUUUGAACCGUAUCUUAUCUAUGGAUACAUUACUGGUUCAGUCUCUGAAGCGGGGGCGGCUAUGAUGACUUGGCCUUCCUCAGGACAUUCCUUGUUAAUACAAGUGAACAGUGAGACGAUUACGUUGAUUUCACUCUCAACUCAGUGAAAGAAGUAAACACCCGGAAGCUCGUUAGAAACGUAGAACCUCCGCCUCCACCCCAGUCCUAAUGAAUCAGACUGCAUUUUAACAGGAUCCCGGGGGAAUCAGACACGCAUUGAGGAAAGAUGAUGUGAAGAGACACAGAGAGAAGACUUCCAUCUACAAGCCAUGGAGAGGGACCCGGAA
rnacentral:lncRNA from 1 species